GUCUAUGGCCAUGUCACCCUGAACAAGCCGGAUCCUGUCUGAUCUCAGAAGCUAAGCAGGGUCGGGCCUGGUUAGUACUUGGAUGGGAGACCACCUAGGAAGACCAGGUGCUGUAGGCG
rnacentral:rRNA from 1 species